CAAUUUUCAUUCAUAUUUCAUUCAACAUAUAUAUACACAGGUUGAUAACAAUGGCUGAUCUGCAUAUAAUGACUGCUAGUUAUUGGCUGGUAUGCAGUGAAAGGGAGCUAAAAAGGAGUAAAAAGUUCAUAUCAGCCAGGUAGUGUGGCUUAAAUAAACCAGUGUUAAGGAAUAUCCAGUAAUGGCAUGACAUCAUGAGAGUUUGGCAUACCGACAUUCAGAUGAUUAAUGAUGAAACUGAAGACCUCAAGUGAAAGGCAUGGAAAAUGAUCCUGUUCCCAUAUACCUGAAAAAGAGGAGGGAUGCCACAAUAUUGAUAAUAGACUUUUGUCAAUUUGAGAAGCAAAGAUGUAAAAAAAAAAAAAAAAAAAAAUAAUAAUAAUGCUGAAAUUAUAAUUCAUGUAUUUGUUAAAAAUACUGUUCACUGUACAUACAUGUAUAUUUUUUUUAACUUAUUUUUAAAUACAUGAAGUAAUUCAUAUUAAAACUGUGAAUGUA